GACGAACGCUGGCGGCGUGCUUAACACAUGCAAGUCGAACGGAUUGCUUGGUGCUUGCACUGAGUGGUUAGUGGCGAACGGGUGAGUAACACGUGAGUAACCUGCCCCCUUCUUUGGGAUAAGCACCUGAAAGGGUGUCUAAUACUGAUUAUUCUGCUGGAAUCGCAUGGUUUUGGUUGGAAAGGUUUUUCUGGUGGGGGAUGGGCUCGCGGCUUAUCAGCUUGUUGGUGGGGUAAUGGCUUACCAAGGCUUUGACGGGUAACCGGCCUGAGAGGGUGACCGGUCACAUUGGGACUGAGAUACGGCCCAGACUCCUACGGGAGGCAGCAGGUGGGGAAUAUUGCACAAUGGACGAAAGUCUGAUGCAGCGACGCCGCGUGAGGGAUGAAGGCCUUCGGGUUGUAAACCUUUUUCGCUUUUGACCAAGGCAGCAUUUUGGUGUUGUUGAGGGUAUGAGGUAAAGAAGCUCCGGCUAACUACGUG
rnacentral:rRNA from 1 species